AAUCGGAGGAUCACGUUUUAAUCGGAGACUGUAGGUUUGUUCUUUUCAGUUGCACUGGUACUGCACUGGUUCUGAACUAGAACUGGCGAGUACAGCAGAAAUUUUUCUAGUGCAAGAAUUCUGAGAGGAAGGAAAAGAACGCCACAGUGCAAGAAUCAACAUGGCGCAACACGUAAUUGAAGAUGUUGAUUUAUCUGAAUUUAUCAGACGAUGAAGAUUUUGUUUUACCACCACCACCACUGUUAUUGUACACAAAACCUAUCUAGGAUGAAGAUGAUAAUCAUAACGAGUUACGAAUAAUACAUCCAAUUUUUGGAAUGAUUCAAAGAAUUGAGCAUGUAAAAAUACAAAAUUACGUAGAAUUAAGAUAUUGUUUGGAAUUAUAAUGAGAUAGACUUUAUUAUGCACUUUCGGAUAUCAAGAGAAAAGACGUAUAGCACCUGAUUAAAUAUCCAACAUUAGCUGAAAAAGAAGAAACUGCAAUAUAUUAUAGAGAAAGAAAAGGAUUCUCUCGUAUAAUUGGUGCUAUUGACGGUUCACAUAUUAGAAUAGAUAAACCUAAAGAAGAUCCAGAUUCUUAUAUUAAUCGAAAGCAAACUUUUCCUUGCAUUUUCAAGGAACAGUAAAUCAUAAAAUGCAGUUUAUUGAUAUUUUCAUUGGAUAUCCUGGUUCUGUCCACGACGCAAGGGUUUUUAAAAAUUCUUCAUUGCGUAACGAUCUACAUGAAUUGUGUACA